ensembl:lncRNA
GGACCACCAGGGAAUUCCCGUGUUUUAUUUCUUGAAGAAACUUCUGACUCAUCUCCGUUACUCCUUCCUGCUCCACCUCCCCCGCCCCCGCCUUCUUUUCCCUUGGAAACGGCCUCAGAGAUUCCGGAAGGUGCUUCCUUACUUCUGAGCCACCUGCGUGGGAGGAAGCUGAGGACGUGAAGCUCCACCUCAGAUCAUCAGGGAUUAGAUCCCAGAGGUUGGGAACCCCUGUCCUAGAGAACCUGUCUGCAAAGCCUAAAAUAUUUGCCAGCUGGCCCUUUACAGAGAAAGUUUGUGGAUACCUGCUUGGAUGCACAGUGCUUGGUUUGGAGCGUGGCGACAGACGGGCUGAGCUGAGAACUGGAGCUGUCGGAAGGACGGGCACACUCUCCCAGUUCAACAAUCUGCCUGCAGGAAUCUGAAAGAGACUCAGGAUAUCUUAACUCUUCGAGGAAGCGGGCUUCUUAACUUGGAGUCCCUGUGGGGGUCACAGGUGAGGUAUCUGAAAUUGGACACAGAAUUUCUCGAGGUCAGCUGAGCGGACCCAGCAGGAGGUGGAGCCUGCCGUGACUGCAGGCUCAGAGGAUGCUGUACCCUCCAGGGAGUGACGGGAGGAGGAAUGUUUUCAGGGGGUGAUUCCUAGCGGAGUCUAGAAUCGUCCAAGUUUAAGAGUUCUCCCGGCCCAUUCCAUCCACUUUCUAGGUGGGAUAACUGAGGCCCAAAGUUGUUGGCGG